GCAUAAUCAAACCCCAAAUUGCACACAAACUUCAACCCAAAAUCCCAGGCAAUUUCAUUGAUAAGACCCCCUUCGCCAUUAUUGUCUUAACCGCGAAGCUCACCAUGUCGAAACUGUUUCUUGUAUUCUGCAUUGUUGCAGUUUGUGCAACACCGAGUUUUCAAUUCGAAGAAGAGGACACUGGUGACGAACCAGUUGUUGCAGAACCGGAAGUUCAUCAAGAUGACGCGGUUGAGGAGGAGGAAGCUGUCGUCGAUCCAGAUGCAGCUGGAAUCGACAUCACCAACAUUGUGAUUGGACCCGUGGUAUGUCCCAAGGGCCAAAGACCAGAUCGCCAGGGUAUCUGCCGGUCUCCUGCGGAAUUUUAAGAGUUAUAAUAACUUAUAUUUGUCAAUCAAAUGUUAAAAUAAUAUAAAUAAAGUACCGUUCGAAUA